GAGGCCUUAUUUUAAUGAAAAUAUCUGGGUUGCAUUCAGGUGAUGUAGGAGAAGGUCCUAUAGGUCUUU
rnacentral:tRNA from 1 species